rfam:Schistosoma mansoni strain Puerto Rico chromosome 2, complete genome
AUCCAUCUGAUGAGUCACGAAUAGGAGGAAACGCGCGUCCUGGAU